rnacentral:lncRNA from 1 species
CGUAGUUAAAACAGUCGAUAUUAUCAUUUCUCCUAUAUUACUGCCAGUCUCUUGUGGCUCCUUUGCCAAUACGAAAAUUUACUCACGCUUGAAAGUUUUUAUUAUUACCUUGUCGAUAUUGUUGUUAAUAUUACCUUGUUGAUAUUGUUAAUGGACGUUUAAAUGGAAAAUUGAAAAAUUUUUAAAAAGCAUAUACUUCCACAUCAUAUAAUUCAAAAUCAUAUAAUUCCACAUGAUUCCAGAUACAUUUUAUAAUAAAUUAAAAGAUUGUCAGUGCACGGCAGGCACUGGGAAAGAAGCUGAGCGCCACCGGCAGUCAGAGGUCAGAAUGGUAUGGAAAAGUUAGUGGAGCUGUUAGAGGAAAAUAUAGUAACUAAAUCACAGUCAGAAUGGUAUGGAAAAGUUAAUGGAACUGUCCUCACUCCUCAAUGACUUUGAUAACUUAUUAUUUGCUAAGAAUUCUGUCAGCCUAGAAUGUGUUAUUGAAGAUGUUACAUUAAAUGAAUCAUUAAAUAGAGAGAUUGAAACAUUUCUAAGACAAUUAACUUCAUAUUUUUUAUUACAUGCUUCACACAAAGCAUUGGAAUAGCUCAUAUACAAUAUCUCAUUUGUAUUGCUGCUUUUACCACUUCAUGAAUCUCAUAUAUUUUUCAGCACAGAUUUGAUGAUAAAUUCUUGAAGAUGCUAUGCAACCAUAUAACUACUGUGAAGAUCCAUACCAAGCAUUUCAGCUAAUUACUUUGUAUAUUUUUUAUAUUAUAUAGAAGUUAUAUCAUAUUGAGUUACAAUUGAAUAGACAACAGAGAGCCAAGUCAGCUAACUGAUUGUAUUUUGCUUAGCUUCCUUUGUCAGUAUCUCAUUUCUGAUUGAUGGUUGAAGAUCAAGUAUGUGAAACUUUACGUCAGAAGAACCACAUAAAAUGGUUUGAUGAAAAUCACAAGGAAACUUGGAGAUUUCCUGUCAUUUCUACCGGGAACGAUGUCUUUCUCGGAAAUAUUAGAAGACGAAGACGCAACGAUGGGAAGUUGUUUACGUCUUAGAGGAGAUUUUAGGUGAACCUUUACAGAAAUAUUCCUAAAUAUAUUUGAAUGUGUUAGUUUGAACUACAAAGUAAUUGUAAAUAUUUUUAUUAAGAACAUGCGUGGAAACAUCUUUUUUAAACAGAGAGAAUUCUUUUUUCAAAGUUAUUCUAUAUAUUUCCAAUAUAAACAGAUGUGUAAAAAUGUAUUGGAUAACUACUAACAGCGAAUAAACAUAUAAGUAAACAUUGUAAAUGAAAUCAGAAAAGAAUAUAAGUGAAUCAAAUGUCAAA